rnacentral:rRNA from 1 species
GAUGAACGCUGGCGGCGUGCUUAACACAUGCAAGUCGAGCGAGAAAAGUUCUUCAGAGCUUUUCUAGCGGCGGACGGGUGAGUAACACGUGGGCAACCUGCCUCAUAGAGGGGAAUAGCCUUCCGAAAGGAAGAUUAAUACCGCAUAACAUUGUUGAAAGGCAUCUUUUAACAAUCAAAGGAGCAAUCCGCUAUGAGAUGGGCCCGCGGCGCAUUAGCUAGUUGGUGAGGUAACGGCUCACCAAGGCGACGAUGCGUAGCCGACCUGAGAGGGUGAUCGGCCACAUUGGAACUGAGACACGGUCCAGACUCCUACGGGUGGCAG